AUGGACAAGAAGAAGAAGCCGUUCCUGGGCAUGCUGGUGCCCCUGGGCUACCUGCCAGGACUGGGCCGUGGAGGCACGGGUUUCACCACCCGCUCUGAUAUCGGCCCUGCCCGCGAUGCCAACGACUCUGUGGGCGACCGGCACGCCCCGCUGGGCAAGAGAACUCUGGGAGACCAGAUGGAGAAGAACCAGAAGACAGCAGAUGAUGAUGAUGGGGAUUUGAAUGACACCAACUAUGAUGAGUUCAAUGGCUACACUGGGAGCCUGUUCUCAAGCGGUGCUUAUGAAAAAGAUGAUGAAGAAGCAGAUGCUGUUUAUGCAACUUAAAGUAAGAUGAUGGAUGAACGCAGGAAAGAAAGGAGGGAACAACGAGAAAAGGAGGAAAUAGAAAAGUACCGUAUGGAACGAUCCAAAAUUCAACAGCAGUUCUUAGACUUGAAACGGAAAUUAGCAGAAGUUACUGAGGAGGAGUGGCUGAGUAUUCCUGAGGUUGGGGAUGCCAGGAACAAGUGGCAGAGGAAUCCUUGUUAUGAGAAGCUGACUCCUGUCCCCGACAGCUUCAUUGCAAAGCAUUUGCAGUCAGGGGAGAGUCACACUUCUGUGGACCCACGCCAGACACAAUUUGGAGGACUGAAUACUCCAUAUCCAGGGGGUUUGAAUACUCCAUACCCAGGAGGAAUGAUGCCAGGCUUGAUGACACCUGGGACAGGUGAAUUGGAUAUGAGGAAGAUUGGCCAAGCCAGGAACACCUUGAUGGGUAUAAGGCUAAGCCAGGUGUCAGACUCUGUGAGUGGCCAGACUGUAGUGGGCCCAAAAGGAUAUCUGACAGACUUGAAUUCCAUGAUUCCCACACACAGAGGAGAUAUCAAUGAUAUCAAAAAGGCUUGUUUGCUCCUGAAAUCGGUCCGAGAGACCAAUCCUCAUCAUCCACCAGCCUGGAAAGCAUCAGCCCAACUGGAGGAGGUCACUGGCAAACUUCAGGUGGCUUGAAAUCUCAUCAUGAAAGGAGCAGAGAUGUGCCCUAAGAGUGAAGAUGUUUGGUUGGAAGCUGCUCGGCUUCAACCAGGAGAUAGAGCCAAGGCUGUUGUGGCCCAGGCUGCGUGGUACCUGCCACAGUCUGUGCGGAUCUAUAUCAGAGCAGCAGAGCUGGAGACAGACAUCCGUGCCAAAAAACGUGUCCUUAGGAAAGCCCUCGAGCAUGUUCCAAACUCAAUGCGUUUGUGGAAAGCAGCUGUGGAGCUGGAGGAACCUGAGAAUGCCAGGAUCAUGCUGAGCUGGGCUGUGGAGUGCUGUCCAACCAGUGUUGAACUGGGGCUGGCACUGGCAAGGCUGGAGACGUAUGAGAAUGCUCGUAAAGUCCUUAACAAAGCCCAGGAGAAUAUCCCAAUGGAUCGUCACAUCUGGAUUACUGCUGCCAAACUGGAGGAAGCCAGUGGAAAUACCCAGAUGGUGGAGAAAAUCAUUGACAGAGCUAUCAAAUCUCUUAGGGCUAACGGUGUGGAAAUCAACAGGGAGCAGUGGAUACAGGAUGCCAAGGAAUGUGAUAAAGCUGGAAGUGUGGCCACAUGCCAGGCAAUCAUGAGAGCUGUGAUUGGGAUUGGGAUUGGGAUUGAGGAAGAAGAUCAGAAACACACCUGGAUGGAAGAUGCAGACAGUUGUGCUGCUCGUAACGCCCUGGAGUGUGCCCGAACCGUUGAUGCCUAUGCCUUGCAAGUCUUCCCGAGCAAGAAGAGUGUGUGGCCGCGAGCAGCCUACUUUGAAAAGAACCAUGGAACCAGGGAAUCCUUGGAGGCUGUUUUGCAGAGAGCUGUUGCUCACUGUCCCAAAGCAGAGGUGCUGUGGUUCAUGGGGGCCAAAUCCAAGUGGCUGGCAGAUGUGCCAGCAGCCAGAAACAUCUUGGCCCUGGCCUUCCAGGCCAACCCCAGCAGCAAGGAGAUCUGGCUGGCUGCUGUGAAGCUCGAGUCGGAGAACAGUGAGUAUGAAAGAGCGAGGAGGCUGCUGGCAAAGGCUCGCAGCAGUGCCCCCACAGCAAGGGUCUUCAUGAGGUCUGUGAAGUUGGAAUGGGUGCUUGGGAAUAUUGCUGCAGCCCAGGAGCUCUGUGAGGAAGCCCUGAAGCACUAUGAGGGCUUCCCCAAACUGUGGAUGAUGAAAGGACAAAUUGAAGAACAAAAAGAGCUGGUAGAGAAAGCACGGGAGGUUUAUAAUCAAGGGUUGAAGAAGUGCCCCCAUUCCAUACCCCUGUGGCUUUUGCUGUCCAGGCUGGAGGAGAAAGUAGGGCAGCUGACUAGAGCAAGAGCCGUCUUGGAAAAGUCUCGCCCGAGAAAUCCAAAGGAUCCAGACCUCUGGUUGGAGUCUGUACGCUUGGAGUACCGAGCUAGGCUGAAGAACAUUGCUAACAGUCUGAUGGCCAAGGCACUGCAAGAGUGCCCCAAUUCAGGAAUCCUGUGGUCAGAAGCAAUUUUCCUUGAAGCGCAACUGCAACGAAAGACCAGGAGUGUGGAUGCUCUCAGGAAGUGUGAACAUGACCCGCAUUUCCUGCUGGCUGUGGCCAAGCUGUUCUGGAGUGAGUGCAAAAUAACCAAGGCCAGGGAGUGGUUCCACCAUGCAGUGAAGACAGACUCUGACCUGGGGGAUGCCUGUGCCUUCUUUUACAAAUUUGAGCUCCAGCACGGCACAAAGGAACAACAAGAAGAGGUGAGGAAGUGCUGUGAGAAUGCUGAACCUCACCAUGGAGAGCUCUGGUGUGAUGUCUGCAAGGACAUAGAGAACUGGCAGAAGAAGACUGGAGAGAUUCUUCUGCUUGUGGCAGCCAAGCUGAAAAAUACAUUCUAGAGUGUGCUGGCCUCAGCUGCCUCAGAGGUCUCUGUAGAACUUAACCUGCCCUUUCAGAGACACAGAUUUUGAAGGACAGUGUUGGGGGUUAGGCUUCUUUCCUUUUGUUCCUUUUUACUUACAGAAUUUUUCCCCAUAAGUUGCUAGGAAUCAUUAAUGACUGGGUACUUAAGAAAAACAAAAGUGGCCAAGCUCAGGGGAGGAGGGCAUCUGGUUGCCUUUCUCUUAUCUGGGAGUUUCUCUCCUAGGGGAGAGAUACUGUGAGCAUCGGGCAGGUAAAGGGCGGGGCUGGGGCAGCUGCUGGCUCACUCUCUUGGCUUCGGAGGAGCACGGUCGGAGCUGCUGCUUGGGGAAGGGAAUGCGCUGCUGCCACCAGAGCCCAG